rnacentral:tRNA from 1 species
UUAACAGAAGCCAAAGAGAGGCAUUUCAUUGUUAAUGAAAAAAAUGGACAAAUCCCUGUUAAA